rnacentral:telomerase_RNA from 1 species
GUAUUUAGGGACAAGGGCCGCGCGACUUCUGCGUCUAACCCUAUUGUUAUAGCUGUGGGUUCUGUUCUUUUGUUCUCCGCCCGUUGUUUUUCUCGCUGACUUUCAGCGGGCCUGGAAAGUUCAGACCUGCAGCGGGUCACCGCGCAUUCUGGAACCUCAAAAAAUGUCAGCGUAGGAGCUCUGGUGCCAGAGCUCCGCGGGCGCUGGGCCGCCCAGCCCGGUACCCGCCUGGAGGCCGCGGACGGCCUGGGGUCUUAGAACUCCGCUGCCGCCGUGAAGAGCUAGUCUCUGUUAGCUACGGGGCACCGGGCGCUGGGGUCAGGCCGGGAGAGCGCCGCAAGGACAGUAACGGAACUGGUCCCUGAGUUCGGUGGCUUUCCUGAGAUGUGGGAAGUGCACCUGGAACUCAGUUCCUACAACC